AGACCCGAAACCCGGUGAUCUAGCCAUGGGCAGGUUGAAGGUUGGGUAACACUAACUGGAGGACCGAACCGACUAAUGUUGAAAAAUUAGCGGAUGACCUGUGGCUGGGGGUGAAAGGCCAAUCAAACCGGGAGAUAGCUGGUUCUCCCCGAAAGCUAUUUAGGUAGCGCCUCGUGAAUUCAUCUCCGGGGGUAGAGCACUGUUUCGGCUAGGGGGCCAUCCCGGCUUACCAACCCGAUGCAAACUGCGAAUACCGGAGAAUGUUAUCACGGGAGACACACGGCGGGUGCUAACGUCCGUCGUGAAGAGGGAAACAACCCAGACCGCCAGCUAAGGUCCCAAAGUCAUGGUUAAGUGGGAAACGAUGUGGGAAGGCCCAGACAGCCAGGAUGUUGGCUUAGAAGCAGCCAUCAUUUAAAGAAAGCGUAAUAGCUCACUGGUCGAGUCGGCCUGCGCGGAAGAUGUAACGGGGCUAAACCAUGCACCGAAGCUGCGGCAGCGAACGUAUCACCCAAGACAACUUUACGGAGUUGACGAUUGACGGAGCGAAGCGACGUCAAAGCGUUCAUUAAAGUCGAGUUGGCUUAGGGAUACGUUCGUUGGGUAGGGGAG
rnacentral:rRNA from 5 species